AAAAAAAAAAAAGAUAACAAAGUUUCUGUGUUAACAAAGAAAAAAGGCAAAGGAUGAAUCAUGUGGUUCCAAGAAGUUGUGAGUUGGCUGCAACACGCUGGAAACUUGGUGGUAACAGUCUGGACGGUAAGUUGUUGCUAAGGUGAAGAUCCAAUAAAGGUACUCCAAAUUGAGCAUGUCUGGCUCCCUGUAUGCCUGCAGUGAUGUUGUCAGAUAAACAACAGAAAGGACUGCUGGACCUGAGGGGGUUGCCUGAAAAAAAUGGUAACUGAAACAUAGUUACUAAUUGUGUCGAUUUGUCAUGAAUUUAGAUUUAUGUUGUUCUGUAACUUGAAUAUUUUAAAUGUAGUCUAUGUUAUAAA